CACAAGUACGCAUAUUGAUAAACGCCCCUAGCCUAAGGCUGUUCCAGUUCUCAGCACCGCUCCUCUCUUUUCCUGAGUCCUUAGCAGUUGUCCUCCCCACGAUGACGUUUUCAUUGAGGCCAAGGAAAAGAGUUUAGGAAAAGGAGAUGGACUGCACUAGGGCAUGUGAUGUAUUUCCGUUUCCAAAUACUACCGCUUGGACGUUUACGGUAUGUUUGUUUAUCUAUCGGUAGCUAUGCUAAUGUCACUUCAGAAUGAGUAUAAAGAGAAAAGUAUUUAAAACAGAACAUUUUCAAAAACAGGAGAAGAAAUACUCCGAGCAUUGCUGUGUCCCACUUUGUUCGGCUUCAGCCAAAUUUAACGGCAUACUAAGUUUUCAUGGCUUUCCGACCCAUUCCGACUUGAGAAGACAAUGGCUGGUAAACAUACGCCGGGAUCAUUUCACGAUUACCUCUCACACCAGGGUCUGCAGCAGACACUUUGCCAGUGAUCAACUCAUAGAGCCAACAACCCUUGAUGGUCGAAGGCGGCUUAUUAAAGGUGCUGUACCAACACUUUUUGAGUGGAAUGGCUUUAAAGUUGAACCACGCGGCGUAGUGUUUGGGAGAGAACGGAGCAAUGCCUUGAACUAGUUCCUGCUGACGAUCAAGAAGAGCACAGUCUUACAAGAGAUCAUGACUACUGCUCAGUCCCUGAGCCGUCUGCAUUGGACAUAUCUGCAUCAGCUGCAGAAGACCUGUCCAAAGACGUGGAGACUCUGAGGAAGGAAAUACAGGAGUUACGUGUCCAGCGAGAAUUUGGGUUACAGCGUUUUGCUGGCUCCGACACUGACAUCCGAUACUAUGCCAGAUACACUUAAGCUCUAUUCCAGCUAAUUGUUUAAAAUAUACCAAGGUCACCAUCAGUUGAAUUUCGAAAGUGUUUCCAGUCUUAAUGAAAACAAAAUAGAUAUUUACUUUUUCUCUGCUGAUUGUAUGUUUCAUGUAGAUGCUUUAGUAUUUCAACAAUAUGCUACAGAUUUCCAAGCUAUGAUCAUUUGAUGGCAUUUUGGUUUUUGAUUGAGCCUUGCAUCUAUAAAAUGAUCCGGGUUUCAAGAGCCAAGUCAGCUGCCAAUAGGAACGAAGAAGUGUUGACACCUGCACGCACAUCAACGAGGCAGCUGCUACAGCCAAUUGACGAGUUCUUUCUCUUCCUGGUUUUCCUGUCAGUUGGUUUGAAGGAGAGGGACCUGGCACACCGAUUUAACAUACACCAGUCCACAGUGAGCCGCAUUAUUGCAACAUGGACAAAUUUUCUUGCCACUGCACUGGGGUCUCAAUGCAUCUGGCUUACACGUGAAGAAGUGCAAGCUU